AACGAACGCUGGCGGCAGGCUUAACACAUGCAAGUCGAACGCCCCGCAAGGGGAGUGGCGCACGGGUGAGUAACGCGUGGAUAUCUGCCUUUUGGUUCGGAAUAACCCCGGGAAACUGGGGCUAAUACCGGAUGGUUCCUACGGGAUAAAGAUUUAUCGCCAAAAGAUGAGUCCGCGUACGAUUAGCUAGUUGGUGAGGUAAUGGCUCACCAAGGCGACGAUCGUUAGCUGGUCUGAGAGGACGAUCAGCCACACUGGGACUGAGACACGGCCCAGACUCCUACGGGAGGCAGCAGUGGGGAAUAUUGGACAAUGGGGGCAACCCUGAUCCAGCCAUGCCGCGUGAGUGAUGAAGGCCUUCGGGUUGUAAAGCUCUUUUGGCGGGGACGAUGAUGACGGUACCCGCAGAAUAAGCCCCGGCUAACUUCGUGCCAGCCGCCGCCGUAAGAC
rnacentral:rRNA from 1 species